GAUGAACGCUGGCGGCGUGCCUAAUACAUGCAAGUCGAGCGAACAGACGAGGAGCUUGCUCCUCUGACGUUAGCGGCGGACGGGUGAGUAACACGUGGAUAACCUACCUAUAAGACUGGGAUAACUUCGGGAAACCGGAGCUAAUACCGGAUAAUAUAUUGAACCGCAUGGUUCAAUAGUGAAAGACGGUUUUGCUGUCACUUAUAGAUGGAUCCGCGCCGCAUUAGCUAGUUGGUAAGGUAACGGCUUACCAAGGCAACGAUGCGUAGCCGACCUGAGAGGGUGAUCGGCCACACUGGAACUGAGACACGGUCCAGACUCCUACGGGAGGCAGCAGUAGGGAAUCUUCCGCAAUGAGCGAAAGCCUGACGGAGCAACGCCGCGUGAGUGAUGAAGGUCUUCGGAUCGUAAAACUCUGUUAUUAGGGAAGAACAAAUGUGUAAGUAACUAUGCACGUCUUGACGGUACCGAAUCAGAAAGCCACGGCUAACUACGU
rnacentral:rRNA from 1 species